CUAAACGCAGUGGUGCAAGUCUGUCUAUAGAAACAUGCCCUCAUUACCUGACAUUUUCGUCCGAAGAAGUUCCAGAUGGAGAUACUCGCUUUAAAUGUUCUCCUCCCAUAUGUGGUGACACAAACAGAGAAAAUCUUUGGAAAGCUCUGCUUGAUGGACACAUAGACAUGCUAAGUUCAGACCACUCACCAUCCACUCCUGACCUCAAACUAAUGGAGGAAGGCGACUUCUUAAGGGCAUGGGGAGGCAUAUCAUCGUUGCAGUUUGUCCUCCCGGCGACAUGGUCAUAUGGGCGAAAGUAUGGCAUUACUCUGAAUCAGCUAGCCUCAUAGUGGAGCGAAAGGCCACCCAAGCUUGCAG